GAUGAAGAACGUAGCGAAAUGCGAUAAGUAAUGUGAAUUGCAGAAUUCAGUGAAUCAUCGAAUCUUUGAACGCACAUUGCGCCCCCCAGUAUUCUGGCGGGCAUGCCUGUUCGAGCGUCAUUUCAACCAUCAAGCCCUGCUUGUGUUGGGGUCCUGCGGCUGCCCGCAGGCCCUGAAAACCAGUGGCGGGCUCGCUAGUCACACCGAGCGCAGUAGCACAUCUCGCUCAGGGCGUGCGGCGGGCUCCAGCCGUUAAAGCACCCACCAUUCGCAAGGUUGACCUCGGAUCAGGUAGGAAUACCCGCUGAACUUAAGCAUAUCAAUAAGCGGAGGA
rnacentral:misc_RNA from 1 species